GGCUCACCAGUUUUCAUUCCUUAAGUCCUUCCUCAGCUUGUUCUCAGACUCCUUUUCACUUUGUCAUUGGACCACAGCAUCCCUAAGUUACCUUAGACCUGAAAAUCCAUCAAAAUAUCCUAAAACAUGAAAAAGAAUAGAAAAACAUUAAAAAGAGUUAUGUACAAGGAUAAGCUUGGGGUGUCUCCCAAGAGCACUUUGUUUUAAGUCACUAAGUUUGACUUUUCAUACUCUUUUCUUAAUGAGUGAGAGGAGGAGCUUUGAUGCUCCUUGUCUUGUCCAUGAAUUCAAGCAUUAGGUCCCUGUUCAUCAGCUCUUGAAAACCAG
rnacentral:lncRNA from 1 species